GGACUAAACCCGCCUAUUUUUGACCCGCCCGUCUCCCUCCAUACAUAAACCUUGUUAUAUCAUUUCCCACACCCAAACCCUAGAUCUAAAUAACAUUGAAACAACGUUGUUCAUCAUCUUCCUCACUGAGCUCGGUCCUCAACUCGCCUGGAACUCAGGCGAGUUCACUCAAAUGGGACCCCUCCCCUCCACGUCAUUUUAUUCCCAACGGUUUUUGUCAAAGUGGAACGAAUAUUCUCUCCGAAUUUUGCACGAUUUCUGUAUGAUAGAACGAUUUGCUAGAUGAAUGGGAGCCGUGGAUGGAUGUAAAUCGAUCCAUGUCUUCCAUUUGUCCCAAAAAUCAUUAAAAACGUGAAGAUUUUCGGAUAUUUAGGCAGAAACUUCGAGAUUUUUUGAGGGUUAUAUAUAUGAGGUAAGUAUUCUUUUUCAAGGUUAAGGAAAAAUCAGAAAAAUCUAGGGAAAAUUUUCAGAAACUUAGUGAUGGAAUUUCUAGGGUUUUGAAGUUUCUCCCUUCUCUUCACCCCUUUUUCUUUUUCGGUCAGGCAUUUUUUAGAAAACAAAAAAUAUACAAAAACAUAGUUUGAAUUUUGGUUUUAUACAAAAAAUUUUGUUUCAUUUCGAAAGGGAUUAAAGUUUUAUAAAUCUCAGCAUUUUUCUUGGAUCUUUGGUUUUUUCAAGAAUGGUUUGUGAUUGAGUUUGUGGCUGGGAUUUGGAAUUUGGGUGUUGUGGAUUACUGUUCGAGUUUUUUUUUUGCUACAAUCUGGUCUUGGCUGAACUUUGCUGAGCUCCAGAUUAGUCGUGGAAACUCUUGUUGUUCAGAAAAUUAUUUUCUGAUUUUUCUUUGACUAUUGGAGACCAGCUGCUGUUUUCUUCUUGAUCUUGCUCGACCUUUAUUUGGUCUGAUUCUUUCUCUUAUUCUGUUUUCUAGGUAAACAUCUACUACCUCAUGUUGUUGGUUUUAUUGAUGUAUUAAAGAUUGUGAUGAGAUGACAUUGUUUGUUUAUCCGGCAAGAUUGUGUUUAAACUAGCUUGAAUGGUCAUUUGAUUUUAACAAUGGAAGAAUUAAAAAAUGUUCUUGGCUCUGUUGUGUUGUUUCGUGUUUCUAAAACUCAUAGCUACACACACACACUCAUUACAUUUAGUCAUUCAUAUGGUUUUCUAAGGUUAUUGUGUUGAUUUACUGAAAAGUGAGAUGAAGCCUUAUAAUUUUAAGUCGGAUUUUUAAGCUGAUGAAUCUAGAUGGAGGGUCUAAAUUGUUUUACUUCCCUCAUCAAGACAUAACAGAAUAUAUGUGUGUUUGGUUUUAGGUUCGGUUAAUCACUUCUUCUCCCUUUCUUAUCAGCUAUCUCUCCUAUUAGAACCCAUUCAUAUAUAAAAAGGCUCUUGUGUAAUUGUUCUGUUGCAUUUCUUCAUUUCUAUCCCAACCUAUAAUGCAGUCUAAUUUGGUAAAAAUGUAUGUUUAGAGCUGUUGGUAUUUGGAGUUUCCAUAAGAAGUGUACAUGCUAUCCUAUGCCUUUGUUGUCAUAGAUUCUUUUGGACAUUUUACAUGAGACGAGCUGAUCCUGAAUCUAGGUGUGUUCCUUAAAUAGAAAAGUAUCCAGGGGUUGUUUGAAUGUACGUGAUGUAUUAGAUUUUUUUUUAGAAAUUGGUUAUUUUUUGAUUUGGUUAGAUCUUUGCCUUGGCUAUUUCUUGUUUUAAAAGGUUCUAUAAGUUACCUAAAGUAGGUUCAGAAGUAAGAGUAUGUUUGAAUUCAUGUUCUAGCCCUAUGUUAGUUGACAGGUUUUUGCUGAAGAAAUGCAUCAUGUAUAGUUGACAAAUAGCUCCUCCUACUUUGUUUACUGUUGAACACUUUUAGUUUCUUUGUGAAUUGGAAUCCAUGUGUAGUGUCAGGAAAAUGUUGUUUCAUCUAGUAAGUUUGAGAUUGAAAUCAAUUGAAAUAUAUUAAAAAGUGAAGUCCCAGACUAUUUGUUGCUUGUUGCUCAUUGAUUGUGUGUGGAUGUAAGGCCUGUACAAUUUGUUUACGAACGACCCAGAGCAAUAAUUUUUUUGGGCCUCAGCAAUCAUCUUUCUUUUGGCCUGUGUUGGGUUUAAUUGUUUGACUUGCAUCUAGGCUCAAUUCUGAGCCUAAUGAGUGAUAAUGCCCAUCUCAUUUAAAAAAAAACGUGCAUUGAUACACUGGGUCUGCCGUUGGCCCGGUUCCCACCUCGAUCAGUUUAGGCCUGUUUGCUUUGCUUUGCACAUUAAUCAAGGGCUUGAGCCCAAGUUUGGAUGCAAAUAACCUUAUGUUUAAUUAAGUAUAAUCCCUUUAAAAUGGUUGGAGGCGUGCCAUUUUUCAUUAAAAUUACCCAUGCCCUCUUAUUAGCAACACAAAAUUUAGAAGUAAUUAAUUCUUUAAAUACCCGUAGUUUGCUUUAGAUGCGCAAUUAAAUUAUUACGACUAUGUGUACGGUUUCCGUGACGUGGUUGUGAUAAUUAGUUUUAAAUUAGGUUAAAAUAAGAGUACCUUUAGAUUGCCUUUAAAAUAUAUACCCCUUUUCCUAAAAUAAUUUGAGGUGUGCCAUGUUUAAAACUCAUAAUAUAUGACCCUCACAAAUUUAAUUCAAGAGUUUAAUACUUCUAAAAUCGAGGUGUGCCAUCAAUUUAACUCUCCCUGGACCUCACAAUUUUUUUUAUUAAUUUGAACCUUCGUAGUUGCUUUAGGCGCGUUCUUUAAUUAAUUCCAUCAUAGCUAUGGGUGCGGUUCCCGUGACGUAGUUGUGAUUUCUUUUAAAAUUCCAGGUGUACAUUUCAUGUAACCCAAGUUCAAUUCCUCAACAAUGUUAAAUGAAACUUGUUGCGAACCGCGGGUGCAUUUCAUGUAGCGUGGUUCAACGUGUGUUUUAAAUAACGUUGAAUCUUCCUAAAAUUGUUUUAAAAUAAUUAAAAGCAGUUCUAAAGCUAAUAAUGCACAAUAGGUUAAAAAAUGUAGUAAAUCAGAUAAUAGGCCAAUUUUAAUAGUUUAAGCGACCGUGCUCGAACCACGGAACCCGGGAAUGCCUAACACCUUCUCCCGGGUUAACAGAAUUCCUUAUCUAGAAUUUCAGGUUUCACAGACUUUUUUUGAUAAAAUCGAAUUUUCCUCGAUUUGGGAUUUAGAAUAAACUGGUGACUUGGGACACCCUAAAUUAAUCCAAGUAGCGACUCUGUAAUAAAUAAAUAAUCCCAUUUCGAAUAAUGUCACUUUAAUUGGAAAAACUCCCUUAUGUACCCUCGGGUGUAAAAAAGGAGGUGUGACAGCUCUGGCGACUCUGCUGGGGAUUUAAACCCAGAACUUUGGUUCAGGGUUCAAGAAUUCGAGCUUAGAAUAACUGUUAUAUUUGGCCUAUUUUUAUCUGAUUUUUACAUGUUGAGCCUAAUGUGCUAAAUGCUGCUUUUUACCGCUUUGAUAUUGUUUGGACUGUAUAUAAAUUGCUACGAAACCCUCUUCUCUCUGAGUCUUCUAAAUCAUCUAGUAAGUGUACACUUCAUGUAACUUCUUUUUUGUUAGAGUCAUAUCCCAAUUUUAGAACGAGGUUCGGAUAAGUUGCAAAGCCGGUGAAGCUUUUGUAUUCCCGGUACGUUGCCGCUCUCGGCUCUAGUUGUCCGCUCGAGUAAGCCAGGUCUAGAACAAUACACCCAAGUUUUUAAACCUAAUAUAACAAAGCCUCAUGCCGGAUCCCUAGUAGGAACGCUUGUUUGCAUCACGUGCAUUUGACUUUGGAGACUUAACAUAUGGGUUGGGUCUGUCUAGGACAUGUGUACCUGAAAUGAAAAGAGCAUCCUGAUGUAUUCUACCUGCGACUUGUGCAUUUAUUUGCUUUGGAUUGCAUGUUGACCGGCUUAUGAAUAAUGGAGAAAAGUUGGGAAAAUNNNNNNNNNNNNNNNNNNNNNNNNNNNNNNNNNNNNNNNNNNNNNNNNNNNNNNNNNNNNNNNNNNNNNNNNNNNNNNNNNNNNNNNNNNNNNNNNNNNNNNNNNNNNNNNNNNNNNNNNNNNNNNNNNNNNNNNNNNNNNNNNNNNNNNNNNNNNNNNNNNNNNNNNNNNNNNNNNNNNNNNNNNNNNNNNNNNNNNNNNNNNNNNNNNNNNNNNNNNNNNNNNNNNNNNNNNNNNNNNNNNNNNNNNNNNNNNNNNNNNNNNNNNNNNNNNNNNNNNNNNNNNNNNNNNNNNNNNNNNNNNNNNNNNNNNNNNNNNNNNNNNNNNNNNNNNNNNNNNNNNNNNNNNNNNNNNNNNNNNNNNNNNNNNNNNNNNNNNNNNNNNNNNNNNNNNNNNNNNNNNNNNNNNNNNNNNNNNNNNNNNNNNNNNNNNNNNNNNNNNNNNNNNNNNNNNNNNNNNNNNNNNNNNNNNNNNNNNNNNNNNNNNNNNNNNNNNNNNNNNNNNNNNNNNNNNNNNNNNNNNNNNNNNNNNNNNNNNNNNNNNNNNNNNNNNNNNNNNNNNNNNCGUGCAUUUGACUUUGGAGACUUAACAUAUGGGUUGGGUCUGUCUAGGACAUGUGUACCUGAAAUGAAAAGAGCAUCCUGAUGUAUUCUACCUGCGACUUGUGCAUUUAUUUGCUUUGGAUUGCAUGUUGACCGGCUUAUGAAUAAUGGAGAAAAGUUGGGAAAAUCAAUUUGAAGGCUGAGAGAAAUACUUACCUGUGUUUGAAAAACCCGGUAUCCAAAAGGUACCAAAACUAUGCCGAACUUUUGAAAAAAAAAAGAAAAUUUGUUUCAAGAAAAAAUAUUUGGUAUGGUUUUUAUUAUGUCAAAACUGCCCAAACUACCCAAGUUUGAUUCUCACCGGAUGUGGUAUACGUAGGCAACCCUCACCAGGUCCAACUCCGUUUUUGCAAAAAUAACCCAAAAAGAACAAAAAUUUUGUUUGUUUUGUCAUAAAUAAAUUAGGUAAUGUCGUUCUUGUCUAAAUGGCCAAAACAUUCCCAAAAGGACGCCGGAAGUCUGCUUUUGCAAGAAUAGCCACAUUCGGUUCCUUUUUCAAAUAUUUGCCAAUUAACAACAUAGCCCUAAAAUCUUCUUCCUUGAGGUGCUGAAGGGUCGUAUUUACAAAGGCGUUCCUUGUUUUGAAAUGAAUUUUUUUUGAAAACUAAUAACUUUUUCUUAAGUCAAAAUAAACCAUGAUCUUUUAACCAAUCACUCUAAUAAAUGUGCAGGAUGAGCACAAUUGAAAAUGAACCCUUUACAGUCCUUGAAGAAAUCCCAUUAGGACUCCACAUGUGGUGGAAUGACUUACAAAAAGUCAGCAGAGUUACUGUGGUAAAAGUUUUGGGCGGUCUUGUUGGUCUUCUGAAAAUCAAACCGAGGUUGGAUAUGAUUGAGGCUUUGAUAUCUUUUUGGGACCCGGCGCAUAGUGUAUUCCAUUUUUCUAAUAUUGAGCUAACCCUCAUGCUUGAGGAAAUAGCGGGCUAUGCCGGUCUUAAUGGGAAUCUCAGAAGUCGGUACCCAGUAGCACCAAGAACAGUGACUCCUCAUAAGUUUUUGGACCUGCUGAGCAUCAGUCGGGAGGUUCAAGAUGGAAAUCUAUCUGAAGGGUUUUGCACAUUCUACUUCUUGUACCAGCGUUAUGGCAAUCCCCAUGGUUUUAAGGCACCAGAUACUGGCCUAACUCAUUCAGGAAACAAAGGUAAAUGGGAAGCAUGGCGGGGACUGGCUUUUAUAGUGGCAUUCUUGGGUAUUUUAAUUUGUCCAAUAAAACAUGGAAACAUAGAAUUGGGUCUUGUAGGAAUGGCCAACGUCAUGAUUCAGAAAGCUAAUGGCACCCUCGUUCCAAUGAUCUUAGCGGAGAUUUACCGAGCUUUAACUAUCUGCCGAGAAGGGGAAAAAAUUUUCAAGGGCUGUAACAUGCUCCUACAACUUUGGAUACAAGAACAUUUUUGUCACUGCUUGGAGUACAUGAACUAUGACAUGACUGAUUUGAAUUGCAUCAAAGAAUAUGAAAACCGAGUGGUGGGUUGUGAAUUUCCAAAAGGUAUAGAGGCUUGGUUUGCGCAUUUGAGUUCUUUAACUUCGGACAAAAUUGAGUGGACUUUCAGUUGACUCCCUGUCACUGAAGUCAUUUACAUGUCAGCUGAGGUGUGUUAUCUUCUCUUAAUGGGUCUCCAGAUCAUUCAGCCAUACGCUCCACACAGGGUGCUGCGCUAACUAGGCAGGUUCCAAACUAUCCCACAUGACAAAGAUCUGAGCUGACAAGUCAUCGAAUUGGGUCCGAAAGCGGUAUUCCCAGAAGAAAAAGUUCAUUAGAUUUGGAAUAAGUGUAGAUUUCUAGAGCCAAAGACUCGGGUGAGGGAUCUAUCUAAAGGCGAGUUAGACCCUAAUUACAUGACUUAGUUUGGUAAAAGGUUUCAAGUCCCUCAGGAGCCCGAACAGCCUGCUAAAAGACCCCAUGUCCAGCAAUUCACUGACGAUUCGCAGAAGCAAUGAGAUUGGUUAGCAAAAGAGGCAAGCUAUAGGAUCAAGAUAAGCAAAUUGGAGGGACAAAUCAGGGAUCUCAAAUUUGACAAUAGUGUACAAGCCGCUGCUGAUGAAGGGAAAAAGAAGAAACUGGCUCAAGAAAACAAAGCCCUUCGAGCCCAGAUCCAAAAAGUGAAGAUAGCUACGGAGAAUCAGGAAAGAAGCCAAGCAGAUGAAAGGCUCAUAAAAGGUCUUAGAAGGAAAGUAUCUGAAUGUCAGGAUGAAAAUCCGAGGUUAAUCUAGCAAGAGCCCGAGCACAACUGACAAAGAACAUAGAGGGACGGGCGGAGCUUGUAUGGCAAUUGAAAAGGAAAUAUGAGGGAAUAGUCACAAAUUUGAAGAAAAGGCUAACUACCCUCGAAAAUGAGAUGGCCAAACAAGCUAAGAACUUUAAAGCAGAAAGAGAACAUUGAUAUGCCUUAAUGUCCCAGCUAGAGAAAGAUAUGCAACAGCUACAGGGUCAAAACCAUCAUGACACCCAAGUGCUAGAAGCUAGGUCUCAGCAAAUCGGGUGUUUGCUCCAAGAAAAGGGUAUCAUCAGGGAAAGGGUUAGAGCAAUUGCUGUUACAUUGUCAUGAAGUGCCAUGAAUGUGAAGACAUGACUAGAACCACCUUCUUUGCUGUGGUAAUGACCUUUGUUCGCCAAAUAAUGAGUAACCUGGAGCGUCCUCAAGGGGAUCUUGCACAUAGGCCCGUGGCAAGACCGACUGACGUCCCACGUGCCCCUAGAUUAGAAGCACUUAUGUACUGUUGAUUUUUAUUUUUGAGUAUGUACUUCAGUUUUUAGUUUUAAAAUAUGUUUCGAGUUUGUUUGUAGUUUUAAAUUCCUAGAAAGAGUAUGGUGGAGUCUUUUGUAAUAGAGAACAGUAGAGUUUUUGUUAAUGAAAAAUUGGAAAAUCCCAAAAAUUGUUUCCCUAUUUUUUGCAUUUAUUUCUUAAACUACGUGAUGAUCUGAUUCACGCGGCGUCGUGAUACGUAGGCAAUCCUCAUCGGAUCCGGUCAUGAUUUUUGUAAAUAACUCAAGUAAAAAAGGAAUGUGGAAAAGAGAAAGCCAAAAAAAGAAGAAAAUAAGAGUGCAAAAGAGCAAGAGAGAAGAUCGGGGAGAUAAACAAAAGCUGGGAUGAGACAUGCAAUCGUUGCAAAACAUGUAGAAACACAUUUAACUGUAUAGGUGCAUCACACCCCAAUGUGCAAUUCCCUAUGUGUUAAUUGCUUCAAACUAACCAGUUUAUUGUCUGUUAUUGAGUAUAGGUUCUAUUUUUAAGGUGGUUGGUUUAUGGUAACCUGGCUUCACACCCGUACUUCACAAGAUCAAAGGGCAGUGUAGAAAUGUCAUCAGAAGGUCGUCCACCAACGAUUCCCAUCUUAGAGGAUAGCCCACUAUCGAUUAUCCCAACCUCAGAGUCAGCGGAAGCUGAAGAGAAUAUGGCACUAUGCCUCCACGUGCUAGAAAUGUGGGACGCCUGGUCUAAUGGUAGAGAGCCGCCGAGUUCCAUACCCGGUUUCCCCGAGUUACUUCCUAGAGCAAGUGGAAAUUCCAAUGUCCCAAUAAAUUACCCAAAUACCCCACUUGGAUACCCCACCAUCUCAGCUCACUUCACCGAAACACCUUCUGAGGUUCGCCCCCAGAUGGUUUCAGGAGUGGCCUCCAACAUAUUUACCGCACCACCAACAUCAGCUGCGGUGCAACCCACUUUGCCCAGGCCAAGCUUUGAUCCAUCGUCUUUCACCUUCCAAGUACCAUCUUUUCCACCAGAAUCUACCCAGAUCACUACCAAUUCUUACCCUUAACAACCCUGGUACGAGUUUGUCGCGGGAUAGGAGAAGGCUACAAAGAACCUCGAGCAAGAGGAAAUUACCCGAAAAAUAAGGAGCAUGGAACAGAGCCUCAAGAAUAUACAAGGUUUGAGCGGACAAAAGAGUUUGUCCUACGCUGAUCUAUGCAUGUUCCCGCAUGUGCAUUUGCCCCUGGGUUUCAAGACCCCAAAGUUCGAAAAGUAUGACGGGAACGGGGAUCCCAUAGCCCAUAUCAAGAGGUACUGCAAUUAACUGCGAGGGGCAGGCAGAAAAAAAGAGCUACUAAUAGCUUAUUUCGGAGAGAGUCUGGUCGGCAUUGUAUCUGAGUGGUACAUGGACCAAGACAUGUCUCGUUGUCACAUUUGGGACAAUCUAGCUAGAGAUUUUGUCAGGCAAUUUCAGUAUAACAUAGAUAUAGCUCCCAACAGGAAUUCUCUAUCGAAUCUCAAGAAGAAGUCCUCAGAAAGUUUUUGAUAAUAUGUUGUUAAAUGGCGCGAACAAGCGACCAGGGUCAAACCUCUGAUGGAUGAAACAGAAAUGGUGAGUGUCUUUCUACAAGCCCAAGAGGCUGACUACUUCCAGAAUAUGAUGUCUGCAAUGGGGAAACCGUUUGCUGAGGCCAUCAAGAUUGGUGAGAUGGUCGAGAAUAGUCUAAAAACAGGGCGCAUACUAAGCCAAUCUGCCAUAAGAUCUACAUCCCAAGCAAUUCAAGGUGGGUCCGGGGGCGUAGCAAAUAGAAAGAAGAAAGAAGAGGUGGCAAUGGCAGCUUUAAGUCUGAGAAACCCCCGUCCACCCAGAGGUUACUUCCCUCCAAACACCCCACCACAUUAUUAUCCUCAUCAGGAUGUGGCUUAUGCUAUGGCUCCUCAGCCGUACACAAUAAUGAAUGCCCAGCCAUACGCUUGUCCACAACAACAGUUCAACCAAAAUCGAGCUCCAUUUCCUAGAAACAACCCUCCUCACCAAGCUUAGUAUAAUCCCCGGCCUCUACAAAAUAAUUUCCCCUUCAAUGCCCGUGCUCGGGAGCCACCCAGAAGAACAAACUUCACGCCUAUUGGUGAGUCAUACUCUAUCCUUUUCCCUAAACUGGUCCAAAUGGGUCUAUUGCAACCCGUACCCCAGACCAGGCAAAAUCCAAAGUCGCAAUCCUACAGAAUCGGUACUCGAUGUGCUUACCAUUCGGUAGCGGAAGGGCAUGACACUAAAGACUAUUGGACUCUGAAAAGGGUUGUUGAAAAUCUCAUAGAGCAGAAAUGGAUAGUGCUAAAGGAUGAAGAAAUUCCUAAUGUGACCAACAACCCAUUACCGGCUCACAACAACGGACCAGUUAUUGGAAUGAUUUGCAAAGAUAAAGAGUUUGAUCCCGCUUUGAAAGCCAUCAUUGCGAUUGUUGAUGUCGAGAAGAAGCCAAAGGUUGCUGCAAAGCAAGACAAGGGGGAGAAUAAGAGUAAACCCACCCCUCAAAAUAUAGAAAAGACAGUGGAAACCAAAAGUGGGGCAGUACCUCAAAAAGAUGUCAUUCUUUAUGUUCCCCGGGGUCACAGGAAAGAACAAAUGACAUUGAGCCCUCCAAGAAGGUUCGAGCUGAAUAAGGGAUCUAAGAUAUAUGUGCCUAAAGGGACUUAUGUGGUACGUGGGCUAGUAAUUUCACCAAGGCUGAAUGAGCCCGUGGUUAUUGGUCGCGCACCGCAAAAGCCCAUGACAGACCCUGCUGCCGUCCCAUGGAAUUACAACAAGCCGGUAGUAACCAACAAAGGAAAGGGGGUCCUGGGAGAAGCAAAUGAAACUAACCCAGUCGAGAAAUACCUCAAUCUGGAGGAAGUAAAGAGAGCCAAACAAAAACACUUCCGAUCAGAAAUCCAAUUAGUGCCAAAGAAGAAGAAGAGUUCUUCCGUAAAAUGUAAACUAUGGAGUAUGAGGUAAUAGACCAACUCUGAAAGUAUCCUUCACAGGUCUCACUCUUGUCUCUACUGGUAAGCUCAACUGAGCAUCAGAAAGUGUUGAUAAAGACCCUCAACAAAGCUUAUGUUCCAAUUGAAACCACUGUCGAGCAACUGGAGAAGAGGCGGAAAGAUUCUUCGUAGUUAAUCAAAUUUCCUUUAGCAAGAAUGAUUUGCCCCCGGAAGGGGUCGCCCACAACAAAGACCUCCAUCUGAAAGUUAAAUGUGAGGGGUACUAUGUGAAGAGAGUCAUGCUGGAUGGCGGAUCCGGAGUUGAUAUCUACCCUCUCUCAACUUUGCAAGAAUGGAGAUUGGGACUGAGAGAAUCAGGCCUAACAAUGUCUAUGUGCGUGCCUUUGAUGGCAUCAAGAGAGAUACCAUAGGUGAGAUUGACUUGAUCUUGACUAUUGGUCCUGUGGAUUUCGAGGUGAUCUUUUAGGUCCUAGACAUAGACACUUCCUAUAAUUUCCUCUUGGGAAGACCUUGGAUUCAUGCGGCAGGGGCCAUACCUUCCACUCUCCACCAGAUGGCAAAAUUUGAAUAUGAAGACCAGGAAAUUGUGGUUCAUGGAGAAGAUGAGCAGUCAAUUUACCGGGACCCAUCAGUCUCAUGUCUCAAAGCCAGGGAAGGUAGCGAGCAUAUAGUUUAUUAAGCUUUUGAGGUGGUGGUCGCAGAUCAAUGUGAGGAGGGAAACCCUUGUCCUUAGCCUUUUCUGUCAAAUUCAUCCAUCAUGGUCAUUGUUGAAAUGAUCAAGCAUGGUUAUAAACCUGGGAAGGGACUCAGGCAUCAUUGCAAGGUAUCAUAGAACCUAUCACUCUACCUGCCAAAGAAGUUCUUCGGUAUGGGUUUUCGUUCCACAGAAGCUGAUGUGACAUUGGCAAAUGAGUGAAAGAGCAAUGGUUCGGUUUUACCUCAGCUGGUUCCACACCUCUACAAAACAUUCGUCCAGCCCAAGUACAAUGAAGAAGAAGAAGAUGAGGCCUUCACGGCCGAGAAAAUUGAAGAAAUAUGUGGGAGCUAUGAGGCAAAUGUUGUAUGAAACCUACAUGGUUUAUCCAGGAGAAGGCUCGAGCACCGCUGAGGUGCUGUAUAUGGGGCCCAAUGCCAAGUUACAAAACUGGAAGGCUACUCCAUUCCCAAUCAGGCGGGAAUCCCGAUAGUCCAGUCUUGCGACCUUUUCUACAUCACGAGUUAUUUCAGGGUGUAACUCGGAUGUUUCUUUUAGUUUAUUGUCUUUAAAUUCCAAUGUAAACCUUGUUAUCUUCAAAAUUCAAUGAAAUAAAAUCAAUAUUUCAUCGUUCAACUCUCUUUAUUCUUUCUGAUUUUUGUUAAUUUUUCUUAUUUCUUCUUUCAGUCCUAAUAACGCGGCUUUAAAUAAUGUGACAUGCUUGCGGACUUCAUGCACAGAUCCAAACACGUUAUCUCAUUGUGAAAUAAUGAAUCAAGAACUGGAAUACGAUGAAAAAGAGGCUUUUAGGGAAAUAAAUCAAGAAUUGGAACAAUUCGAGAAUAAACCUAAGCCAAACUUAAAUGAAACCGAGCCGGUUAAUUUGGGUAGUUCUGAAGAGGUCCAAGAAACCAUGAUGAGCAUUCACACAGAUGAAAGAACUAGGGAUGCCCUGAUCCAACUUUUGUUUGAAUUCAAAGAUGUGUUUGUGUGGUCCUACGAUGACAUUCCAGGAUUAAGUGUUGAUCUAGUGGUACACAAAUUGCUGACUUACCCCGAUUAUCCCCCUAUCCAGCAAAAACAAAGGAAAUUCAAAACUGAUAUCAACGACAAGAUCAAAGAGGAAGUCACCAAACAGUUGAAGGCAGGGGUGAUCCGAGUGGUCCGAUACACCACAUGGUUGGCCAAUGUGGUUCCCGUGCCAAAGAAAGAUGGGAAAAGUCGAGUGUGUGUUGAAUACUGAGAUCUGAAUAAAGCAAGUCCCAAGGACAACUUCCCUUUGCCAAACAUCCAUAUCCUUAUUGAUAACUGUGCCAAACAUGAGAUACAAUAUUUCGUGGAUUGUUAUGCAGGAUAUCAUCAGGUGUUGAUGGAUGAAGAGGAUACGAAAAAGAUAGCCUUCACCACUCCCUGGGGUACCUAUUAUUACAGGGUCAUGCCUUUUGGUUUGAAGAACAUCGGGGCAACUUAUAUGAGGGUCAUGACUGCCAUCUUUCACGACAUGAUGCACCAAGAAAUCGAGGUGUAUGUGGACGAUGUGAUCAUCAAAUCCAGAACACAGGACGACCAUGUUUGGACCUAAAAAAGUUUUUUGAGCAGCUGCACAAGUAUGAUUUGAAGCUAAAUCUGGCUAAAUGUGCAUUUGGGGUUCCGUCUGGCAAACUCUUAGGAUUUAUAGUCAGUCGGAGGGGCAUUGAGUUAGAUCCAACGAAAAUAAAGUCUAUUCAGGAUUUGCCUCCUCCGAAAACUAAGAAAGACGUUAUGAGCCUGCUGGGAAGGUUGAAUUACAUCAGCCGGUUCAUUGCUCAGUUGACUUCCACCUGUGAGCCUAUAUUCAAACUGUUGAAGAAAGAUGCGGCGAUUAAAUGGAUAGAUGAGUGUCAAGAAGUUGUCGACAAAAUCAAAGACCCGCCAGUCUUGGUCCCACCCGAACCUGGAAGGCCUUUGUUUUUGUAUCUAACAGUCUUGGAGAAUUCUUUCGGCUGUGUCCUGGGGCAACUGAUGUGACCAAGAAGAAAGAGCAGGCAAUCUACUAUUUGAGUAAGAAGUUCACAAGUUAUGAGGCCAAAUAUAUCUUGUUGGAAAGGAUUUGGUGUGCCUUAACUUAGGUCGCUCAGAAGCUUAGACAUUACCUGUUGGCCUAUACCACUUACCUCAUCACCAGGUUAGAUCCUUUAAAGUACAUAUUCCAGAAACCGAUGCCCACAGGGAGGUUAGCAAAAUGGUAGAUUCUGUUCACAGAAUUUGACAUAGUUUAUGUCACCUGUAUGGCAAUGAAAGCCCAGGCUUUAACAGAUCACCUAGCCGAAAACCCUAUUGAUGAUGAGUAUCAGCCUUUGAGUACUUACUUUCCGGACGAGGAGGUGAAUUCAGUUGAGGUAACAUCAGAAGAUACCAAUACUUGGAAAAUGUUCUUCGAUGGAGCCGUGAACGCAAAAGGUGUUGGGAUUGGGGUAUUUUUUAUCUCACCCCUGGUCAACACUAUCCAGCCAUAUCCUGGCUUCGGUUUUUCUGCACAAAAAAAAAACUUCCGAGUAUGAAGCCUGCAUUAUGGAUAUGAAUAUGGCAAUCGACCAAGAUGUUGAGGAACUAUUGAUCAUGGGGGAUUCAGACUUGAUUAUCCGACAAGCUCAGGGUGAAUGGGAAACUCGGGAUGUCAAGCUUAUUCCAUAAAGGCAACAUAUGGAAGAUCUUAGCAAGCGGUUCAAGUCAGUCGAGUUUAGGUACAUCCCUCGUUUUCACAAUGAAUUGGCUGAUGCACUCGCUACUUUGGCCUUGAUGUUGUCGUAUCCAGGCAAUCUCCACAUUGAACCGUUGGAAAUCCAAAUCCGAAAAAGGCAGGGUUACUGCAAUACGAUUGAGGCAGAACCGGAUGUUCAGCCAUGGCAUCAUGAUAUCAAGAGAUUUCUUAAAACUAAAGAAUAUCCUGAUCAAGCCAGUGGAGACCAAAAGAGAACCAUUAGACGGCUUGCAAGCAAUUUCUUCUUGAGCGGUGAGGUCUUGUACAAAAGGACUCCAGAUCUCAACUUGUUAAGUUGUGUUGACGCCGAAGAGGCCAGAAGAAUCAUGUAUGAAGUUCACGCAGGAGUAUGGACCCUACAUGAAUGGAUACGUCUUGGAAAAUAAAAUCCUUCGAGCAGGCUAUUACUGGAUGACUAUGGAAAAAGAUUGCUUCAAUUUUAUCCAGAAAUGUCAUCAGUGUCAGGUACACGGUGACAUGAUUCAUGUGCCGCCUACAGAAGUGCAUCCUAUGUCAGCACCAUAGCCGUUCGUUGCUUGGGGUAUGGACGUCAUUGGGUCGAUCGAGCCAAAAGCUUCAAAUGGGCAUAGAUUCAUAUUGGUCGCCAUCGACUACUUCACAAAGUGGGUUGAAACAAUUACUCUCAAAGCUGUCACUAAGAAAGAUGUGGUAGACUUCGUGCACUCCAAUAUCCUCUGCCGUUUUGGUAUUCCUGCAACUAUCAUUACGAAUAAUGCUGAAAACUUGAAUAGUCACUUGAUGAGGGAGAUAUGUGAGCAGUUUAAGAUCACGCAUCGAAAUUCUACCCCUUAUCGGCCCAAAGCCAAUGGUACUGUUGAAGCAGCAAACAAGAACAUCAAGAAGAUUCUGAGAAAGAUGAUCCAAAGUUCCAGGAAAUGGCAUGAAAAGUUGUCGUUUGCAUUGUUGGGAUAUCGCACAACUGUGCGCACAUCAGUCGGAGCAACCCCAUAGCUUUUGGUAUAUGGCACUGAAGCCGUGAUACCCGCAGAAGUUAAAAUCCCUUCUCUUCGAAUCAUUGUUGAAGCUGAAAUUGAGGACAGUGAAUGGGUAAAAACCCGUCUGGAACAGUUAACCCUGAUCAAUAAAAAGCAAAUGGCCACAUUCUGCCAUGGGUAGUUGUAUCAACAAAGAAUGGCCCGUGCCUACAACAAGAAAGUGCGGCCUAGGAACUUCGAAGUGGGGCAACUCAUUUUGAGGCUUAUUCUCCCUCACCACCAGGAAGCAAAAGGAAAGUUCACUCCUAACUGGAAGGGCCCAUAUAUUAUCAGAAAAUUAUUGCCAAAAGGGUCGUUAUACCUGGGAGACAUCGAAGGAAAUGACCCCGAAACAGCUGUAAAUGCAGACGCAGUCAAAAGAUAUUAUUUCUAGUCUUUCUACAGCACUGAUACUAUCCGAUUGGGAAGACGAAGUCUUUCAUUCUCGCUACCCCAAACACUCCAAUCCUUUGCUAACCCUUUGAGCCAGUUACCUUUCCUUCAUUACCCUCUUUGGAACUUGAAAACGUUUGUAAAAAAAUAAAAUCAAAUCAAUAUCAGAAAUCAACAAAUCAACAAAAGAAAAACAAAACAAAAGUUUUCCCUGAACUACGUUUGACUUGAUUCUGAAAGGAUACGUAGGCAGCCUAUCUCUAGGGUUCAGUCAUACCAAAAUAAAAAUUCAAUUUCCCCUCAAAAGUGAAACUAGGGCAGAUGUUAUAAUGGUUCGAUGAUAGUUCGCCAGAAAAGUUCCAAAGUUAUAAUUUGAUCCAAACUCUUUUUACCCUAAAUCCCGUUCAAGUUCUUCUGAUCAAGAGAUAGGACGUUCAAGACUUGGAGAAUGUGGUUGCUUGGAUCUGAUACAAACAAAUAAGAGAAAUAAAAUGAGAGAGUUUUAUUGGUGAAAACCCACACGGACACCGUAAGAUGAUGGAAAGCAAAGAAAUUAAAAAAAUGAGAGAGUUUUGUUAGUGAAAACUCGUAAAGAGCAUUAUAAGGCGACGAUGAGAAGAGAAAUGAGAGAGGUCAAUUGGCGAAAACCCGCAAAGGGCACCGUUGAUCAAAAAGAAGAAAUCCCUUACAACCAUUGGCACUAAAAGAGUCCUGGAAGGUUUCUCGGUUUUAAAACACGGGUCAUAAUGGGUUUAUGAGAAUUUGGAUAGUUGCGCUGAUCGGGUAUCCAGUCCAAGAAGCAUGUCAUGUCUAUUGAAGUCUGCAUGCACUCCAGAUAAGUCCUUCUUUCUCUCCCCCGAAAGGGAUGCUUCUCGUUAAAUUCAUUAUCCUGUCCUUUGUUUACUUUUCUUUAAGUCCCUUUCGGUCUAAUCCCUCUUCGAAACUGAUACAAAGAAAAGAUAGCAAGACUGGUUGUACAGGGUUCUACUUAACAAAAGCCAAAUUCAAAGAAAAGCACCCAGCCUCAGCAGGUGCAUCAAGUCGAUCUCGACUGGCCAUGAUGGUCGAUGCUCCAGGUUCAAAUUCAUUGAAAAGGGAAAGAAAUCCAAAGUCAAAUGUCCAUAAAGGCGAAAUAAGAGGAAAAGGCCAAAACCCUACACAGGUUGAACCAUCGUAUUGAAAAUUUUAGAAAGUCAAAAUCCCUAGUUUUAGAAGAGAGAUCGAUCUCCAGAAAGCCAGCAGGCAACAGAGAUGUUCAUCGAAAGAGUUGGGUCGAGAUCAAGUGAUCAAAACAAUCAAGGCCACAAAACUAACUACCAAUUCAAACUAACAAUUGUUCUUUGUUUGAAAACAUGAAACAGGAGCAAUGCAAAGCAACCUUGCAAGAAACGGGUGUAACAAGACACUACGCAAGUACUAAAAACAGCUUUGCAGCAACGAUCCAGAAAGGGAAGUCCCCUCCAAAUUCUUUCCCGCAUUUACUCAUUCCAUGAAAUAAAGGAAGAAACAAAAUGAAAAAAAAAGAGAUAAGAAGAAAAUUCAAAAUAAUGGUAGCCUAGGAUCCCCAAUAUCUAAUUAUGUUUUUCCAACAUAGGAUCUCCACUCCCUAGUUGAUUUUGUUUUAGACAUAAGGUCUCCACUCCCUAGUCAAUUUCCCAACAUAGGGUCUUCACUCCCUAGUUGAAGUUAUUUUAGACAUAGGUCUCCACUCCAUAGUCGCUUUUCCAACAUAGGGUCUCCACUCCCUAGUUUAGUUUAUUUUAGACAUAGGGUCUCCACUCCCUAGUCGCCUUUCCAACAUAGGGCCUCCACUCNNNNNNNNNNNNNNNNNNNNNNNNNNNNNNNNNNNNNNNNNNNNNNNNNNNNNNNNNNNNNNNNNNNNNNNNNNNNNNNNNNNNNNNNNNNNNNNNNNNNNNNNNNNNNNNNNNNNNNNNNNNNNNNNNNAAGUCGCCUUUCCAACAUAGGGUCUCCACUCCCUAGUUGAUUUUAUUUUUAGACAUCGGGUCUCUACUCCCUAGUCACCUUUCAAACAUAGGGUCUCCACUCCCUAGUCGCCUUUCCAACAUAGGGUCUCCACUCCCUAGCUUAGUUUAUUUUUAGAUAGUAGGUAGAUGUUUUUCCAACAUAGGAUCUCCACUCUAUGGUUGAUUUUAGUAUAGAUAUAGGGCUCCACUCCCUAAUCUCUUCUUCCCAAGGAUACACAAUCCUUAUUUUAUUUGCUUUCAAAUAAAGAAAUAGUUUAGAUUUUGUUACAAUAACUCACGAAAUUUUCCUAGUGAAAACUAGGGCAGAAAAACUUCAUUCGUUUAUUUGCUUUGGUGCCUGAACAGGUUUUUACCGUGGGGCACAAGGUUUGAGAUGACCAAAAUAAGAAGUCUCAACCCAAAUAAAAGAAAAGAAGUUGAAUUCAAGAUGCAGAAGCGGAGAAAAGAUGUGGACUACUCAAAUUUGAUUGAAGUCACAAGCUUCGCAUGUCCCGCCGUGAUCUGAAAAGCUGAAGAAGAAUGAACCAACAGUUGCAACUAACGAGCGUCAAGAUUCAAACCAGAGUUUACAGGAAGAAUCAUCCAAGAUUCAAGAUCAAGUUUUAGAAGGUUUAUAGAUAAGAAUCUUGUAACUCGUAGUUGAUAGACUUAGCUAGCUUAGCUUCUUAUCUUUCAUUUUGGUGUAAUAAGGAGCUCAACAAGCAAAAACAACAGCAACAACAGUGAAAUCACAGUUCCCUAUUAGUCCCAGCUACCAAAACUUCCAGAACUACACUGACCUGAUUCUUUUAUAGCCAAGGAUAUGUAGGCAACCUCAGAAGCAAGGUUCGGUCAGGCUCCUUAAAAAAUGCUUCUCAUAGAGUUACAAAUGGGAAAAAAUCCCUCAUAAUUGCUCAUUUUGUCUUUGCCCGAAAGUCUGUCGUGUUUCCGAGCAAAGAGGGGCAGCUGUGAGCAUGUGGAUUUUGCCCUAUAUGAAAUACUCCUAUAAAAUCCCAAGAAAAUAGGUUUUCUGUUAAUUAUUUGCCAUUUUAGGAAUUUUUAUAGAAUUUUUUUAAUUAUUUGCAUUUCUGUGCAUGUUUAAUUUUUAUUUAAAUCAUGAAAAAAUACAAAAAUAUUAUGCAUUGCACUUAGGAUUUGUUUUUAUAUUUUUAGAAUUAAUCAGUAAUUAUUUGCUUUAUAAAAAUUUAAAAAUCACAAAAAAUAGCUCAUUUUUACAUUUCUGUCUUUUAAUUUUUAGUUUAUUGAUUUUUCUCUUUUAAUUUAGAAUUAAGUGAUGUUUAUAAUUUUUUAUAAUUAGUUAACUAGUUUAAUUUCAAAUUUUAGAUAAUUUAAGAUUUUUAAUUAUUGGGGUUUUUAAUUAAAAAAAGAGAGAUUAAAGAUAUAAUAAAAGAAAGAAGAAAAAAAUGAUUUUUAAAGUGGGUCUAGCAUACUUGGGUUGCACCUUUAAAACCUUCAGCCCAAACACUUCCCUUUACAGCCCCAGCCCAAAAAUUGGACCAAACCCGCCUAUUUUUGACCCGCCCGUCUCCCUCCAUACAUAAACCUUGUUAUAUCAUUUCUCACACCCAAACCCUAGAUCUAAAUAACAUUGAAACGGUGAUGUUCAUCAUUUUCCUCAUUGAGCUCGGUCCUCAACUCGCCAGGAACUCAGGCAAGUUCACUCAAAUGGGACCCCUCCCCUCCACGUCAUUUUAUUUCCAACAGUUUUUUGUCAGAGAGGAACGAAUAUUGUCUCCAAAUUUUGCACGAUUUUAGUACAAUAGAACGAUUUGCUGGAUGAAUGGGAGCCGUGGAUAGAUGUAAAUCGAUCCAUGCCUUCCAUCUGUCCCAAAAAUCAUUCAAAACAUGAAGAUUUUCGGAUAUUUGGGCAGAAAUUUUGAGAUUUUUUGAGGGUUAUAUAUAUGAGGUAUGUUUUCUUUUUCAAGGUUAAGGAAAAAUCAGAAAAAUCUAGGGAAAAUUUUAAAAACUUAGUGAUGGAAUUUCUAGGGUUUUGAAGUUUCUCCCUUCUCUCCACCCCUUUUUCUUUUUUAGUGAGGCAUUUUUUAGAAAACGAAAAAUAUACAAAAUCAUAGUGUGAGUUUUGGGUUUAGACAAAAAAAAUUGUUUCAUUUCGAAAGGGAUUAAAAUUUUACAAAUCUCAGCAUUUUCCUUGGAUCUUUGGUUUUUUCAAAAAUUGUUUAUGAUUGAGUUUGUGGCUGGGAUUUGGAAUUUGGGUGUUGUGGAUUCCUGUUCGAGUUUUUUUUGGCAGCAAUCUGGUCUUGGCUGAACUUUUUUGAGCUCCAGAUUAGUCGUGGAAACUCUUGCUGUUCAGAAAAUUAUUUUCUGAUUUUUCUUCGACUAUUGGAGACCAGCUGCUGUUUUCUUCUUGAUCUUGCUCGACCUUUAUUUUGUCUGAUUCUUUCUCUUAUUGUGUUUUCUAGGUAAACAUAUACUACCUCAUGUUGUUGGUUUUAUUGAUGUAUUAAAGAUUGUGAUGGGAUGACAUUAUUUUUUAUCCGGCAAGAUUGUGUUUAAGCUAGCUUGAAUGGUCAUUUGAUUUUAACAAUAGAAGAGUUAAAAAAUGUUCUUGGCUCUGUUGUGUUGUUUCGUGUUUUUAAAACUCACAGCUACACAUACACACUCAUUACAUUUAGUCAUUCAUAUUUUUCUAAGGUUAUUGUGUUGAUUUACUGAAGAGUGAGAUGAACUUGUAAAUUUAAGUUGGAUUUUUAAGCUGAUGAAUCUAGAUGAGGGGUUUAAAUUAUUUUACUUCCCUCAUCAAGACAUAACAGAAUAUGUGUGUGUGUUUGGUUUUAGGUUCGCUUAAUCACUUCUUCUCUCUUUCUUUAUCAACUAUCUCUCCUAUUAGAAUCCCUUCAUAUAUAAAAAGGAUCUUGUGUAAUUGUUCUGUUGCAUUUCUUCAUUUCUGUCCCAAACUAUAAUGCAGUCUAAUUUGAUAAAAAUGUAUGUUUAGAGCUGUUGGUAUUUGGAGUUUCCAUAAGAAGUGUACAUGCUAUCCUAUGCCUUUGUUGUCAUAGAUUCUUUUGGACAUUUUACAUGAGACGAGUUGAUCCUGAAUCUAGGUGUGUUCCUUAAAUAGAAAAGUAUCCAGGGGUUGUUUGGAUGUACGUGAUGUAUUAGGUUUUGUAAAAUUGGGUUUUUUUAUUUGGUUAGAUCUUUGCCUUGGCUAUUUCUUGUUUUAAAAGGUUCUGUAAGUUACCUAAAAUAGGUUCAGAAGCAAGAGUAUGUUUGAAUUCAUGUUUUAG
rnacentral:lncRNA from 1 species